rnacentral:tRNA from 1 species
UGGCUCAGAUGGUAAAGCGUCUGUCUGCAAUGCAGGAGACCCAGGUUCGAUCCCUGG